rnacentral:tRNA from 1 species
AACAAUAUGCCUGAAUAAAGGAAUAUUUUGAUAGAAUAUUUAUGUAUAAUUUUAUACUAUUGUUU